UUGACAUUCUUGAUUAAAAAUUUGAAACCAGAACAAAAGAACAUUCUGGAAUGGCUAAUAAAUAGAUGGUCUAGAUUGUAUGGAUUCAGUUGUUAAGCCUGUAUGGAUUCAGUCGUUAAGCCCAUAACUAUCAUUUGGAAUACGCUGUGUUAACCUUUUUACGAGGUUGCAUGAUUAGAAAUCACAAUCCAACUGUCACUGUCAUGAACUGGUAAGUGACGCUCUGAUUGGUCGGAUGAAAGGUCGUUCUGAAGUGACCCCUAAUGGCAUGUCCUCAGAUCUUUGUUUAGCAGGAGCGAGAACUAAGAUAUCAUUUUAAUGAGAUUGUAUAAAUGAGAACUUCAUUUGCUUUUGUUCUGCAUAGUUUUGCUGUUCUGCAUAGUUUAGCUGUUCUGCAUUGUUUAGCUGUUCUGCAUAGUUUAGCUGUUCUGCUUCUUGUCACUUGAGCGGAAUAUCUUGUGAUAUGAUAGGUAUCAUGAUCAACUCUAAAACCUCUUGCUUCAGACAGUCAGUUAUUAUUUUCAUAAUUUCUUUUUGACAAUCUGCAUACAACCUUUUUUCUGGCGGAGGAAGGGAAGGAGCUCAUUAUGCUAUUGCUGACAGAGCCUUGUUGGAUUAUGAAUUUUGGCAAAUUUGUUUCUUCUCAGCCAUCUAGUAAUUUCUGUUGAUUGAGUUUGUGUGUAACAUUUCAUCAUUCUUUGGGAAAAUGAGAAAUACUUUCUUUGUUUCUGCUAAUAAAUCUUUGCUCACUUAUGCUUUGCUUCAACUGUCACACCUAUAACUUGCUUUUUAUUUCCUUUUGAGAUUUUUUCAAUAAAAAGUAUAUUUUGUUAACAUUAUUACUUGUGUAUUCACUGAUAUUCUAUUAUAUUAAGACCAUACUUAUAUUAUUUCUAUGUCAGACACCUACAUCACUUCAGGCUUUCUUCCCACAUUAAGCUGCCGUGAUAGAACUGGAAUACUGUUCACAGCGGUGUUAAACCCAACUCACUCACUCACUUUGUUUUGUCUAGGAUUUCAGAGUUUUUCAGUAAAAAUUGUACAUGGAGACUACAAUUUAUAUAUCUCUAUGAAUGAUGUCCAUUAUUGUUUGAGGGAUAAUUGAGACAGGUUAUUCUCUGCUGUAGACGUUUUAUGUUCACAUGAACUGGGUGGUUGUUUUUGCUGGUGGACUGAAGUCCCUGACUUCCGUCAUAAACUCAGUAGCAUUUGUCAAUUAAUUAUUCGAGUCGGCUGUAAAAGAAAUAUUUCAAUCUGCCCCCACAGGGUUGCAAAAUAAACAUAUUUCUAAAAGCUUUCAAUCACUUAUCAGAAGGAGAACCUCAGCACUCAUACACAGCAGACGUAAAUUCAAAAUGAACAUAACAUCAAUACGCUACAUGUAUCAUGUCACUGGAUUUUCUGUUCCUUCACGUGAUUGUCUGAUCACGACUCAAAUGUUUACAUGAGUGUACCAAGAAAUAAGUGUGGUCUUACAUUGUAUUUCCAACUGUACCUGUUUUUUGCAUGUUUGCUCUGUUGUUUAAAACCAUGCUUGGCAAAGGGAGUUCUGACAAAUGUCUCUCAAUAUGAUGUGCAAAUUCACCCCUUAUGGCAUGAAUGUCCGAACACAGUGCGUUUUCAUGGAUGACCAGGGAUUUCACAGGUUGGCACCAGUGUCAAAUCAACUAUGAUGCAGACUGCCAGUGCUUGAUGAGGUGGGAUAGAUUUUGCCAUAAUCUAGAAAGACACAACCUAUUGGUUGCAGUGGAUGACCCUUGUGAUCGAGACAAAGGUCUUUGUCUGUGAAAUCACUGUUAAUCUGUAAAUAAGGAACACAUCAGACGAAUCACUAAACGUCAGCAAGGGUCAUUAUCUUCAUUGAUAUGGAUGAUCGUGGGCAAGGGGAUGAAGAAAACAUCAGUUGAAUUGUAGAAACAGAAAACAUAGUUGGCGUCCAAACAACAUAAAAUCUUCUUCCAUGCUUGAGCUUUUGGAGAGGUGAAUAUCCUACCAAGGAUUGAACCUGCAGUUGUUUCCAAAACCAGUUUACAUUAAAACAGAAACAUAAGGAUAUGAAGAUGUACAAAGGAGGGAAAACUAAAAGGUCACCGAAGACAUCACAGUGAAAAGAAAGACUCCAUGAGGGUAGGUGUGGACAUAAACAAAAUUGUUUUGUCUUCAAGACAUCCAACUUGAGUCAGGAUCAUCAAUAAUCUGAUGGCAUUUAAACAACCUUUAAGCAAAUUUCAGAAUACUUCAAGAAACCAUACAUGAUAUGAGAAAGGCUUAGCCUGAUAUCCUAAUUUACUGAAAUUCCAAUGACAUA